CUGCCAACCCCCACAGGGAUGCCGGAUCAGCAAACCAAAAAAAAAAAAAAAAGUGUUCGUGCCGCCCUAGGAUUGGGCAGAAUGCCGCCCCGUAG